rnacentral:rRNA from 1 species
UGGGGAAUAUUGGACAAUGGGCGAAAGCCUGAUCCAGCCAUGCCGCGUGUGUGAAGAAGGCCUUUUGGUUGUAAAGCACUUUAAGCGAGGAGGAGGCCACCGAGAUUAAUACUCUUGGAUAGUGGACGUUACUCGCAGAAUAAGCACCGGCUAACUCUGUGCCAGCAGCCGCGGUAAUACAGAGGGUGCGAGCGUUAAUCGGAUUUACUGGGCGUAAAGCGUGCGUAGGCGGCUUUUUAAAGUCGGAUGUGAAAUCCCCUGAGCUUAACUUAGGAAUUGCAUUCGAUACUGGGAAGCUAGAGUAUGGGAGAGGAUGGUAGAAUUCCAGGUGUAGCGGUGAAAUGCGUAGAGAUCUGGAGGAAUACCGAUGGCGAAGGCAGCCAUCUGGCCUAAUACUGACGCUGAGGUACGAAAGCAUGGGGAGCAAACAGGAUUAGAUACCCUGGUAGUCCAUGCCGUAAACGAUGUCUACUAGCCGUUGGGGCCUUUGAGGCUUUAGUGGCGCAGCUAACGCGAUAAGUAGACCGCCUGGGGAGUACGGUCGC